rnacentral:miRNA from 1 species
AACCUCAUCAACCAGAAGGAAUCCCUUCUGGUUGAUGAGGCAUAAUAACUUCAUCGACCAGAAGGAAUCCCUUCUGGUUGAUGAGGUA